rnacentral:rRNA from 1 species
ACCCGCUGAACUUAAGCAUAUCAAUAAGGCGGAGGAAAAGAAACUAACAAGGAUUCCCCUAGUAACGGCGAGUGAACCGGGAAGAGCUCAAAUUUGUAAUCUGGCGCGCUCCGUGCGUCCGAGUUGUAAUCUACAGAAGCGUUUUCCGUGCCGGACCGUGUCCAAGUCCCUUGGAACAGGGUAUCAAAGAGGGUGACAAUCCCGUGCUUGACACGACGACCGGUGCUAUGUGAUACGUUUUCUACGAGUCGAGUUGUUUGGGAAUGCAGCUCAAAAUGGGUGGUAAAUUCCAUCUAAGGCUAAAUAUUGGCGAGAGACCGAUAGCGAACAAGUACCGUGAGGGAAAGAUGAAAAGCACUUUGGAAAGAGAGUUAAACAGUACGUGAAAUUGUUGAAAGGGAAACGAUUGAAGUCAGUCGUGUCGGUCGGGUUCAGCCGGGUCUCCCGGUGUAUUCCCGGCCGACGGGUCAACAUCAGUUCUGGCCGGCGGACAAGGGCUGGGGGAAGGUAGCACCUCCGGGUGUGUUAUAGCCCCCUGUCGCAUACGUCGGCCUGGACUGAGGAUCGCAGCUCGCCUUUAUGGCAGGGGUUCGCCCACUUCCGAGCUUAGGAUGUUGACGUAAUGGCUUUAAACGACCCGUCUUGAAACACGG